rnacentral:rRNA from 1 species
AUUGAACGCUGGCGGCAGGCUUAACACAUGCAAGUCGAGCGGAGCGAGGGUGCUUGCACCUUAGCUUAGCGGCGGACGGGUGAGUAAUGCUUAGGAAUCUGCCUAUUAGUGGGGGACAACAUUCCGAAAGGAAUGCCAAUACCGCAUACGCCCUACGGGGGAAAGCAGGGGAUCUUCGGACCUUGCGCUAAUAGAUGAGCCUAAGUCGGAUUAGCUAGUUGGUGGGGUAAAGGCCUACCAAGGCGACGAUCUGUAGCGGGUCUGAGAGGAUGAUCCGCCACACUGGGACUGAGACACGGCCCAGACUGCUACGGGAGGCAGCAGUGGGGAAUAUUGGACAAUGGGCGGAAGCCUGAUCCAGCCAUGCCGCGUGUGUGAGGAAGGCCUCUUGGUUGUAAAGCACUUUAAGCGAGGAGGAGGCUACUUAGAUUAAUACUCUGGGAUAGUGGACGUUACUCGCAGAAUAAGCACCGGCUAACUCUGUGCCAGCCGCCGCGGUAA